rnacentral:rRNA from 1 species
UACGUAGGGGGCUAGCGUUGCUCGGAAUCACUGGGCGUAAAGGGUGCGUAGGCGGGUCUUUAAGUCAGGGGUGAAAUCCUGGAGCUCAACUCCAGAACUGCCUUUGAUACUGAAGAUCUUGAGUUCGGGAGAGGUGAGUGGAACUGCGAGUGUAGAGGUGAAAUUCGUAGAUAUUCGUAAGAACACCAGUGGCGAAGGCGGCUCACUGGCCCGAUACUGACGCUGAGGCACGAAAGCGUGGGGAGCAAACAGG